GCCGGCCAAGCUCCAACUUCCAACCGCGCGCUCGCCAUGGACCAUCGGCUGCUGCUCCUCGUCCUCCUCGCGGCAGCCUCGUGCGUCAACGUCGCCGUGACCGAAGCGCCGUGCCCUGUCGCAUUCUCCGCCUUCUCCAUGUGGGUUCUCGCCUUCGCCGCGCUCGCUGUGCUCCUCCCGCGCCGCGGCGCCGAGUGAAGAGGUCGCGACCGGCUGCCGUCAGCGUCCACGCCCUGCAAUCGAUGAGAUGAUGGCGUGGCCAUGGCGGCAGCCGGCGUUCGAUCUCUUCAAAAUCCCACUCUCCAGUUCCCGCAUGCAUGGAUUCCACGCACUUCUGUUUGAGGCAGGACUGGAACUUCUAUCCAGUUCCGUCCAGUCACUCCAAGUACUACAUUGAGUCCUCAUAUUUAAGGCAGGUAUGGUCCACCUGUCAGAGACUGAUCUAGUGGGUCGUUGGAGUUGGAGGUAAGUACUUCUCCAGUUUGGAAAGAAAUGGACAGGUCAAAUAGUCUUCCAGUGCUCCAAUGACCAAUGGUGUGUAAAAAAAAUCAGUCAAAACUCUAUUAGAAACUCUAUUUCUAGAACCACUGGUCCUGUACUCCAAUAUAUAUAUCCAUGUACUCCACUAUUGUAUAUCUGCGUAUAUUGGAAUAAUAAAGUGCUUGUACCCUUA